rnacentral:rRNA from 1 species
UACGUAGGGGGCAAGCGUUGUCCGGAUUUAUUGGGCGUAAAGAGCGUGUAGGCGGCCAUACAGGUCCGUUGUGAAAACUGGAGGCUUAACCUCCAGACGUCGAUGGAAACCGUAUGGCUAGAGUCCGGAAGAGGAGAGUGGAAUUCCUGGUGUAGCGGUGAAAUGCGCAGAUAUCAGGAAGAACACCCGUGGCGAAGGCGGCUCUCUGGGACGGUACUGACGCUGAGGUGCGAAAGCGUGGGGAGCAAACAGG